AAUCCCCCCGGGGAGUUGUAAUUUGAAGAUUGCGUCUUGGAGGCGACCGUGUCUAUGUUCCUUGGAACAGGACGUCACAGAGGGUGAGAAUCCCGUGCGGCACGGCCCCCGGCUCCUUAUAAGGCGCUCUCGACGAGUCGAGUUGUUUGGGAAUGCAGCUCAAAGUGGGUGGUAAAUUCCAUCUAAAGCUAAAUACAGGCGAGAGACCGAUAGCGAACAAGUACAGUGAUGGAAAGAUGAAAAGCACUUUGAAAAGAGAGUGAAACAGCACGUGAAAUUGUUGAAAGGGAAGGGCAUGCCGUCAGAUUGUCAGUGUGGGUAAGAAGCGGGGUACAAAGACUGUGGAACGUGGCCCUCGGGUGUUAUAGCCGCAG
rnacentral:rRNA from 1 species